rnacentral:misc_RNA from 1 species
UUUUCGGCUGCCAUCUGAGGAAGGCGGAAGUGCAAAAAGAUGGCGGAAAAAAGUAACUUAGAAGGAAGAAGAGAGAAGCUUGCUACCUACUUACCUUUCGAUGCCUCAGAAACUCCUAAGUGGCGUACGAAAGAAGAAGUGCCAAUUUCAGAAAUGAUUAGAAAAAUAAUGGAUUAUCGCAAGAAAUGGGAAGAAGCCAAGAGUGCUAAUGUGUACGAUGAAAAGUUGGUUGAAAAAGUCCGGAGUCAGUUCCUUGUUGAGUUUAUAUUCCACGUUAAUAUGGAAGAAGAGAAAGGUUUUGGCACUUUUGAAGAGACAGAGGAAUUUCUAAACAGUUUUCACGCGCGAGGAGGUAAUUUGCAACGCCCCCUCUCUAUCACUGAGCAAGAAACUAUAAACUUAAGAAAAGCGUAUGAACACUUGCUAGGAAAAAUGGAGAGGGAAGAAGAAGAAAGCGAUUACGGACUUAUAGAGAGUAGCCUGCUGGAGGAGACGCAUCGUAUACUCAUGGAAGACACUGAUCUUCCACAGGGCAAAACGAAGCCUGGUAAAUUUAGCGUGGAAAGGCGUUACGUCGAAUUUAACGGGGAACUUUACAAGUACCCACACUACCCCAAACCUGGAGACAUGGAAACGGCUGUCUACAAAUUACUUGACAAGUAUAAUGACAUGUUCGACCUUUGUACCAAAGGUGGGCUAAAGGAGUUUGAAGACUUCUACUAUCUAUUUAAAACCUGUGCUUGGUUGCUGUUUGAACUUCUUGAUCUUCACCCAUUUGGAAAUGGAAAUGGGAGACUUUGUCGAAUCCUUUGCAGCUAUUUGCUUUCAAAGUUUACUCCAUUUCCAACACCAGUUUACAAUGUCUGGACUGAGUCCCGUAAAAACGAUUAUAGGCAAGCACUGGUUGAUACCAGAAAGAGUGAAGGUAGACAGCCAACUACCCUGACAACAAUGAUCAUAGAGUGUAGUUACUACGGUUGGGGAAAGUUUUUUGAAGCGUUGGAAGAAAACAAAGGAAUGGAUUUGCUCAUUUUGACAGACAGGAUGUGCAAUAGUUACAAACUAGAUGGUGGGAUGCGGGAUGGAAACAGAAAAUCAUGCGUUACAGAUGUUACAAGGAGAACUGCCACGCUAAACAAGCAGGAUCGAGAUAAAAAUUCUUAUUGAGGUGGGAUGGCAGGCCUAGGAUUAAGCCAAAAAUAGGACAUACGGGAUGCAGACGCAGGAUUGGAAAAACGUAUUGUAACGUGCGCGGGCGACAACAACUUCCAGUCAAGGAGUCCAACAGCCAACGGUUUAAUUACUUGACUCUCAACGUUUACCUUACUUGUACAUGGCAAGUCUACUAACACACACGCUACUACAUUACCUCAUUAUACCCUAAAAGACACCCCAAAAGCUCCUGCUGUGGACCUGUUGAGGCUUAUUACACCCUAAGAGGUAC